GCCAGGCAUGGUGGUGCGUGCCUGUAGUCCCAGCUACUCAGGAGGCUGAGGUGGGAGGAUCACUUGAAUCCAGGAGGUCGGGGUUGCAGUGAGCCAACAUUGUACCACUGCACUCCACCCUGGGUGACAAAGUGAGACCCUGUCUCAA
ensembl:misc_RNA Metazoa_SRP Metazoan signal recognition particle RNA